UCAACAACCCACGGGGGCUCGCACCAGCGGGCUGAGAGGACGGCUAGCUCAUCACGAGCGAUCAGGGCCGUCGACCGUAUGAACCUGACCGGGUAAUGCCGGCGUAGGGAGAAUC
rnacentral:ncRNA from 1 species